rnacentral:rRNA from 1 species
GAUGAACGCUGGCGGCGUGCCUAAUACAUGCAAGUCGAGCGAACAGACGAGGAGCUUGCUCCUCUGACGUUAGCGGCGGACGGGUGAGUAACACGUGGAUAACCUACCUAUAAGACUGGGAUAACUUCGGGAAACCGGAGCUAAUACCGGAUAAUAUAUUGAACCGCAUGGUUCAAUAGUGAAAGACGGUUUUGCUGUCACUUAUAGAUGGAUCCGCGCCGCAUUAGCUAGUUGGUAAGGUAACGGCUUACCAAGGCGACGAUGCGUAGCCGACCUGAGAGGGUGAUCGGCCACACUGGAACUGAGACACGGUCCAGACUCCUACGGGAGGCGGCAGUAGGGAAUCUUCCGCAAUGGGCGAAAGCUUGACGGAGCAACGCCGCGUGAGUGAUGAAGGUCUUCGGAUCGUAAAACUCUGUUAUUAGGGAAGAACAAAUGUGUAAGUAACUAUGCACGUCUUGACGGUACCUAAUCAGAAAGCCACGGCUAACUACGUG